UCCACAUUUUUCUGCCCAUGAUCUCGGUGGUUAUCUCCCCAUUAUCUCCCAUCAAGCACCCACUCUCCCUCUCUCUGUAAGUUUCACCUACAAUAAUGGAGAAAUGGGCAGUUUCACACCCUCUCUCCUAUUCAAAAGCAGUUAGAGACGGUUCGUUUUUCUCUUAAAUAACCCAUCUAAUUCCCCAUUUUCAAAUUUCACAGACCCCUCAUCCUAUUUCCUCCCUCACGUCACUGUUCCACCCUCUCUGAUGACCGCCUCCCCCCCCCCCCAUUUCCCUACCCUCGUCUGCUAUUUUGGAUUGUCGUGUGAUGAAGGGUUUAAUGUUGGGAGAUUGAAGAGUUUGAUAGGGUCAGAUGCUCCUAAUUACACUGCUGAGUUAGAGGAGGAGUAUAUAUCAUUAAGAUGAAUGGAUGUUCUAGAAGGCAAUGUGCAAAUUAGAAGAACUCAAGUUGGUUGUUUAUGAAGAAAACAAACUUUCAGUUCUUCAAGUUCAAUUUCUCCAACCAUGGGCUACUAAAAAUACAAGUAUGAAUUUUGACCCUGCCAUAUUUUAUCGCUAUGUAUAACUGGCAUACGAGCAUAAUAUUCAAAAACUGCCAUCUUCUUCUCUGGCUUGAACAUUGCCAUAAGAAUGGCGUGUUUCAAAGAAAUAUCAUGGGGAUUUUAAUUGAUGAUGAUGGGCUUGAACAUUUGGAAGUGGUAGUACUAUUUUUAAAGGAGAGGGCUUCAUUGCUGAAAUAAUAUCAUAUGAGAACUCUGCCCACGAGGUGUUAUUUCUUUCGAUUUUUAUUUGCAGUAGAGGUUUGGUAUUCACAGUAGAGUUUUGAAACAUUGGAGAUCAGUUGCUUGCGUAGCCAUUUUCAUUCCCAUUUUCAUAGCUAUAUGAGUUUUAUUCACUUGUAGGCACUUAUUACUAAUCUGAUUAUAGUAUCAAGAAUCUAUUUUGUGAGGACGAUGUUUGGGCUUGCCAGAAAGAGGAACCAUGAUGAGGAUGCUAAGGAAGAACUUUACUCGCUUGUGAUUGCUACAUAGAUCCCAGCAAAAGGACUCAAGGGGCUUGGCACGAAGAUCACUGAUGAUGAAGAUUAAUUCAUCAAAAUCCAACCUUUUUGAACCAUAUGAUCAAGUGUGCCAAGUUGUGAAGAAAGAGAUUGGUGAGUCCCCUAAAGAGAUGAGCUGAAGAAGCAGGGCUCAUGUUCCUUUCAAGUGACCAACAAGAUUGAUUAAAUAUAUAGCAUUCAAGGUACUUGCAGACUACAUCUCACAUUCUUAGUGAUAAAGAUUCGUAUGUGGAAUUCUUUGGGAACAUUUGAGAGAGUACCUGAUGUUAUUUAGUUAUUGUAUGUGGAGUAAUUUUUUUAAAGACUUUUGGGCUAUUUUCAGUCUUAUAUGACCCAUCUUCCUUUUGGUAUGUCUACUUUUGUCCUAGAAAUCUCAAAUUCCAACAAAACAAUGAAAAGUUGAAAAUAUUUGGUUUGAAAGUUAGGUGCAUUUUGUCUUGAUAUGUGCUCUGCUGAAUCUCCUUUAAAGAUUAAUACUUGGUCUAAUGAAGUAGAAUACAAUAUACCAAUUUUCUUAU